rnacentral:rRNA from 1 species
UACGAAGGGGGCUAGCGUUGUUCGGAAUUACUGGGCGUAAAGCGCACGCAGGCGGAUUGAUAAGUCAGGGGUGAAAUCCCGGGGCGUAACCUAGGAAUUGCCUUUGAUACUGUCUGUCUUGAGUCCGGGAGAGGUGAGUGGAAUUCCUAGUGUAGAGGUGAAAUACGUAGAUAUUAGGAAGAACACCAGUGGAGAAGGCGGCUCACUGUACCGGAACUGACGCUCAUGUGCGAAAGCGUGGGGAGCAAACAGG